GGCCAGAAGUCCUAGCCAGUGCCACC
rnacentral:piRNA from 1 species